rnacentral:rRNA from 1 species
AUACGGGAGGCAGCAGUGAGGAAUAUUGCACAAUGGGCGCAAGCCUGAUGCAGCAACGCCGCGUGAGGGACGAAGGCCUUCGGGUCGUAAACCUCUUUUCUGGGGGACGAGACAAGGACGGUACCUCAGGAAUAAGUCUCGGCUAACUACGUGCCAGCAGCCGCGGUAAAACGUAGGAGGCGAGCGUUAUCCGGAUUUACUGGGCGUAAAGCGCGCGCAGGCGGCUUGGUAAGUUGGACGUGAAAGCUCCUGGCUUAACUGGGAGAGGCCGUUCGAAACUGCCAGGCUUGAGGUUGGGAGAGGGGUGCGGAAUUCCCGGUGUAGUGGUGGAAUGCGUAGAUAUCGGGAGGAACACCAGUGGCGAAGGCGGCACCCUGGCCCACACCUGACGCUGAGGUGCGAAAGCGUGGGGAGUAAACAGGAUUAGAUACCCUGGUAGG